rnacentral:lncRNA from 1 species
CUUCAAGUGCCCUUGUAACGAUGAGUGCCAUCGUUACGAUAAUAUUAUAUUUAUUCCUAUAAGCCACCUAAUAAGUAUGCAACCAGUUAUGCGUUCGUGCUUAGAACGGGUUACCUAAAUUUGGGACCAAAUACAAUAUAAGGUUGGUACUAGAUUGGGGAAAUUCUGGUCUCAGCGUGUGGCUGUACGGCUUCCGACGGAGGGGCAUAUCAUAUCGCCAGCGGAGCGGAUUGUCACUUGAAUUUCCAAUCUCGUUGGAUGAACCCAUAACUUCUUCCAUGGCCAUUGUUUGAAGAAUACUAUUUUUUGGUUGAAAUAUUCGUUUAUAGCAGAGCAGUUUACGUUGGAAGGAAUUAUUAUUAUUUUGUUUUGGAUUUGUGGAGUGAAAAAGAAGAGUUUUGUUUCCAAUAUUUUUUUUAAAGCAAUGGCCAUGGAAGAAAGAAGAUAAGAUAGGAAAUUAAGUCAACCAAUACUUUAGUUUGCCUUUAUGGAAUGAAACAUUAUUUUGGGGAAUUCUUUUGGAUGUAAAUUGGAUGGGUUUUUUUUGGUUCUUUGGAAUAGCAGUUGAGUUUUUUUUUUAUACUGGGAAAGUACCUCCUUGUCAUACCUUCCUUUGGUCGAGGAUCUCCCAAGGAUUGAGGGAAACGGAGGAUACCUUCUUUGGCGCUCCCACCAUCAGCUUCACAGGGUUUGAAGAAGCAACACGCCUAAGUUGUAGCUACAGGUUUUUAUAGUAAAAAAAAAA